UUUCCUCUCUCGUCUUCCUCCCCACGCCACGCCACGCCUCGCCACCGCGCGCACGCUGCCACCCCCUGUGCGGCGGCCAUCGCCGUCGCGCGCGAUCGCUCGAUCUCUUCCUCCCCGCGCGACGCGACGCGACGUCUCGCCACCGCGCGUUCGUCGCUCCGACCAGAUCAUGGAGUCCUCGUACUACUCCAUCCGCGCGCGGCGGCCGUCGAUGGCUGCAAUUCGUACCUCCACGCCGACGAGAACGGGCGGUCCGUCUACCACGGCAACCUGCGCGGCGGGGGCGGCGCCUCGCUGCACAACGCGGUGUGGGCCGUAGAGGAGGUGGUCGCCGGGGGGCACCCCACGCGGUACGUGCUCCUCCGCGGCGCCUACGGCCGCUACCUCGGGUCCCCCGACUCCCCCAAGGCCCCGACCGCGAGCGCGACCGCUGCUGCUCGCUCGAGGCAGCACAGCGCGACCGCGACCGCGACCGCGACGUGCUGGAUCAGGUCGUCCGGGCGCUACCUGUGCGGCAACCAGACCUUCCUGGCUCGCCGCCCUGGCGUCUCCGUCGACGGCGACGUCGACAACGAAACGACGCUGAGGUGGGAGGUGGUGCGUGUCACCCCGAGUCAAGGCAGGCCUGAGCUCCCGAUCGCCACUGAGGUGAGAUCCUCCUACCCCUCAUCUCUCCUGAUCCCCUCCUCGGCUAAGGUUGUGAUUGGAACUAGCGCUAUCCGAGCCCAAAAGCCAAGCAUCACAAUCAGAGGGUCUCUUCCUGCAAUUCUUGUGUUUGUGUUGUGUCCUUUAUGCAAUUAUACAACAAGAGGAUUCUUCUGGUUCUAGUUGAAGAAGUCUUGAUGAUGAUUGAUUGGGUCGGAGAUUAAUCUUUAACCAUGUAACAAUCUGUGAAUUUUUUUUUUGUCAAAUUCACAGAGAUUGAAGAAAAAUUAGACAAUGACAAUGAGAGCAACUUGCAGACAGCUGCCAGUUAUUAGUAUCUAAUUAAUUGUUACAAAUUAGACAGAUAUAAGCUGUGGUGCUCUGAUUUACUUAUUCUGCCAUUCCAAUCUAAAUUGUACUUGUCCAAUUGAAAAUUUUG
rnacentral:lncRNA from 1 species